rnacentral:lncRNA from 1 species
CCUCCCGUGUAAGUGAUGCUAAGAAGCACAAACUGCAUUUUGAAUCUAAGUCCCUGUAUUUUCUGUGAAGGAGCUGUAAGUAGGGUGGGACAGAGAUGGCACCUGGGGGUUCUGAGGCACCCGCUCCUCUCUGAGACAGACAGGGAUCAGGAGCCGGACUGGGACCAGACCACCAGCAACACACCAGAGGAUGUUCUCUAAAUAAGACCAUGGCACUUAAGAACAUUAACUACCUUCUCAUCUUCUACCUCAGUUUCUCACUGCUUAUCUACAUAAAAAAUUCCUUUUGCAAUAAAAACAACACCAGGUGCCUCUCAAAUUCUUGCCAAAACAAUUCUACAUGCAAAGAUUUUUCAAAAGACAAUGAUUGUUCUUGUUCAGACACAGCCAAUAAUUUGGACAAAGACUGUGACAACAUGAAAGACCCUUGCUUCUCCAAUCCCUGUCAAGGAAGUGCCACUUGUGUGAACACCCCAGGAGAAAGGAGCUUUCUGUGCAAAUGUCCUCCUGGGUACAGUGGGACAAUCUGUGAAACUACCAUUGGUUCCUGUGGCAAGAACUCCUGCCAACAUGGAGGUAUUUGCCAUCAGGACCCUAUUUAUCCUGUCUGCAUCUGCCCUGCUGGAUAUGCUGGAAGAUUCUGUGAGAUAGAUCACGAUGAGUGUGCUUCCAGCCCUUGCCAAAAUGGGGCCGUGUGCCAGGAUGGAAUUGAUGGUUACUCCUGCUUCUGUGUCCCAGGAUAUCAAGGCAGACACUGCGACUUGGAAGUGGAUGAAUGUGCUUCAGAUCCCUGCAAGAACGAGGCUACAUGCCUCAAUGAAAUAGGAAGAUAUACUUGUAUCUGUCCCCACAAUUAUUCUGGUGUAAACUGUGAAUUGGAAAUUGACGAAUGUUGGUCCCAGCCUUGUUUAAAUGGUGCAACUUGUCAGGAUGCUCUGGGGGCCUAUUUCUGCGACUGUGCCCCUGGAUUCCUGGGGGAUCACUGUGAACUCAACACUGAUGAGUGUGCCAGUCAACCUUGUCUCCAUGGAGGGCUGUGUGUGGAUGGAGAAAACAGAUAUAGCUGUAACUGCACGGGUAGUGGAUUCACAGGGACACACUGUGAGACCUUGAUGCCUCUUUGUUGGUCAAAACCUUGUCACAAUAAUGCUACAUGUGAGGACAGUGUUGACAAUUACACUUGUCACUGCUGGCCUGGAUACACAGGUGCCCAGUGUGAGAUCGACCUCAAUGAAUGCAAUAGUAACCCCUGCCAGUCCAAUGGGGAAUGUGUGGAGCUGUCCUCAGAGAAACAAUAUGGACGCAUCACUGGACUGCCUUCUUCUUUCAGCUACCAUGAAGCCUCAGGUUAUGUCUGUAUCUGUCAGCCUGGAUUCACAGGAAUCCACUGCGAAGAAGACGUCAAUGAAUGUUCUUCAAACCCUUGCCAAAAUGGUGGUACUUGUGAGAACUUGCCUGGGAAUUAUACUUGCCAUUGCCCAUUUGAUAACCUUUCUAGAACUUUUUAUGGAGGAAGGGACUGUUCUGAUAUUCUCCUGGGCUGUACCCAUCAGCAAUGUCUAAAUAAUGGAACAUGCAUCCCUCACUUCCAAGAUGGCCAGCAUGGAUUCAGCUGCCUAUGUCCAUCUGGCUACACCGGGUCCCUGUGUGAAAUCGCAACCACACUUUCAUUUGAGGGCGAUGGCUUCCUGUGGGUCAAAAGUGGCUCAGUGACAACCAAGGGCUCAGUUUGUAACAUAGCCCUCAGGUUUCAGACUGUUCAGCCAAUGGCUCUUCUACUUUUCCGAAGCAACAGGGAUGUGUUUGUGAAGCUGGAGCUGCUAAGUGGCUACAUUCACUUAUCAAUUCAGGUCAAUAAUCAGUCAAAGGUGCUUCUGUUCAUUUCCCACAACACCAGCGAUGGAGAGUGGCAUUUCGUGGAGGCUGUCUCCAAGACAUUAAAAUUGAUUGGAAUCACAUUACCCUGGAGAACAUCUCGUCUGGCUCAUCAUUAAAUGUCAAGGCAGGCUGUGUGAGAAAGGAUUGGUGUGAAAGCCAACCUUGUCAAAGCAGAGGACGCUGCAUCAACUUGUGGCUGAGUUACCAGUGUGACUGCCACAGGCCCUAUGAAGGCCCCAACUGUCUGAGAGAGUAUGUGGCAGGCAGAUUUGGCCAGGAUGACUCCACUGGUUAUGUCAUCUUUACUCUUGAUGAGAGCUAUGGAGACACCAUCAGCCUCUCCAUGUUUGUCCGAACGCUUCAACCAUCAGGCUUACUUCUAGCUUUGGAAAACAGCACUUAUCAAUAUAUCCGUGUCUGGCUAGAGCGCGGCAGACUAGCAAUGCUGACUCCAAACUCUCCCAAAUUAGUAGUAAAAUUUGUUCUUAAUGAUGGAAAUGUCCACUUGAUAUCUUUGAAAAUCAAGCCAUAUAAAAUUGAACUGUAUCAGUCUUCACAAAACCUAGGAUUUAUUUCUGCUUCUACGUGGAAAAUCGAAAAGGGAGAUGUCAUCUACAUUGGUGGCCUACCUGACAAGCAAGAGACUGAACUUAAUGGUGGAUUCUUCAAAGGCUGUAUCCAAGAUGUAAGACUAAACAACCAAAAUCUGGAAUUCUUUCCAAAUCCAACAAACAAUGCAUCUCUCAAUCCAGUUCUUGUCAAUGUAACCCAAGGCUGUGCUGGAGACAACAGCUGCAAGUCCAACCCCUGUCACAAUGGAGGUGUUUGCCAUUCCCGGUGGGAUGACUUCUCCUGUUCCUGUCCUGCCCUCACAAGUGGGAAAGCCUGUGAGGAGGUUCAGUGGUGUGGAUUCAGCCCGUGUCCUCACGGAGCCCAGUGCCAGCCGGUGCUUCAAGGAUUUGAAUGUAUUGCAAAUGCUGUUUUUAAUGGACAAAGCGGUCAAAUAUUAUUCAGAAGCAAUGGGAAUAUUACCAGAGAACUCACCAAUAUCACAUUUGGUUUCAGAACAAGGGAUGCAAAUGUAAUAAUAUUGCAUGCAGAAAAAGAGCCUGAAUUUCUUAAUAUUAGCAUUCAAGAUUCCAGAUUAUUCUUUCAAUUGCAAAGUGGCAACAGCUUUUAUAUGCUAAGUCUGACAAGUUUGCAGUCAGUGAAUGAUGGCACAUGGCACGAAGUGACCCUUUCCAUGACAGACCCACUGUCCCAGACCUCCAGGUGGCAAAUGGAAGUGGACAACGAAACACCUUUUGUGACCAGCACAAUUGCUACUGGAAGCCUCAACUUUUUGAAGGAUAAUACAGAUAUUUAUGUGGGAGACAGAGCUAUUGACAAUAUAAAGGGCCUGCAAGGGUGUCUAAGUACAAUAGAAAUCGGAGGCAUUUAUCUCUCUUACUUUGAAAAUGUUCAUGGUUUCAUUAAUAAACCUCAGGAAGAGCAAUUUCUCAAAAUCUCUACCAAUUCAGUGGUCACUGGCUGUUUGCAGUUAAAUGUCUGCAACUCCAACCCCUGUUUGCAUGGAGGAAACUGUGAAGACAUCUAUAGCUCUUAUCAUUGCUCCUGUCCCUUGGGAUGGUCAGGGAAACACUGUGAACUCAACAUCGAUGAAUGCUUUUCAAACCCCUGUAUCCAUGGCAACUGCUCUGACAGAGUUGCAGCCUACCACUGCACAUGUGAGCCUGGAUACACUGGUGUGAACUGUGAAGUGGAUAUAGACAACUGCCAGAGUCACCAGUGUGCAAAUGGAGCCACCUGCAUUAGUCAUACUAAUGGCUAUUCUUGCCUCUGUUUUGGAAAUUUUACAGGAAAAUUUUGCAGACAGAGCAGAUUACCCUCAACAGUCUGUGGGAAUGAGAAGACAAAUCUCACUUGCUACAAUGGAGGCAACUGCACAGAGUUCCAGACUGAAUUAAAAUGUAUGUGCCGGCCAGGUUUUACUGGAGAAUGGUGUGAAAAGGACAUUGAUGAGUGUGCCUCUGAUCCGUGUGUCAAUGGAGGUCUGUGCCAGGACUUACUCAACAAAUUCCAGUGCCUCUGUGAUGUUGCCUUUGCUGGCGAGCGCUGCGAGGUGGACUUGGCAGAUGACUUGAUCUCCGACAUUUUCACCACUAUUGGCUCAGUGACUGUCGCCUUGUUACUGAUCCUCUUGCUGGCCAUUGUUGCUUCUGUUGUCACCUCCAACAAAAGGGCAACUCAGGGAACCUACAGCCCCAGCCGUCAGGAGAAGGAGGGCUCCCGAGUGGAAAUGUGGAACUUGAUGCCACCCCCUGCAAUGGAGAGACUGAUUUAGGAGCAUUGUGUCCCUUCGAGAUGGGGAUCCACACACUGUGAAUGUGAUGACUGUACUUCAGGUAUCUCUGACAUACCUGACAAUGUUAAUCUGCAACUGGGAUUACACUGGAACUACAGGAAUGAUUCCUUUGACCACCUUAAAAACUUUCACAGUGGUUCCGCUCGACACCAUUGUUUUAUUAUAUUAUAUCAGCCAAUUGCAAAAAAAGUCUGUGCCAGUAAUUUCAGCCUUAUAAUUAGCAAAAACAUCUUCCAGAGAAUAAAGUCUUCUGUGGCUUUAGUGGCUAUCACUGAAACUCUUUCCUCUUUUCAACCUGGGAACAAAUUUUAGUUUUCAUUUUAGGUUUCUGUACUUUCUGUAGUUUCUGUGUAAACUGCCAUAUGUUUACAUGGAAACUACAGGAAAAAAUUGGCUACAUUUCUCACUUCUCCUAUCAUGUGGUCAAAGUUAUUGUUGUAUACCAGCGAUGGGAUGUAUACUUUUGUCCUUCAUUCAUGGAUUCAGAGAAAGCUCUGGGAAUGACUUAUGGUCCAAAAAAGUGACCCAAUGGCAACAAAUAAAAAUUGAAAUGCA